CAGGGGGCGGGGCCGACGGAGCUGCAGGUUGCCGGGGGAGGGCGCGCGCUCCUGGCACUGGGCUCGGGAAGCAACUGAGGCGAAGUCCAGCCGGCGACUUGGUGGUGCUGCAAAGAAAGCGCGGAGGGGAGGCCGAAAGGGGAAGGACCGCGGUUGCUGCUGCUGCUGCUCCUGCUUCGCAAAGCGGAUUAGCUGGGCUGUUUGUGCCUCGGCUUAUGGGAAGGGAGCCGAGUUGGGCAGGGAAGACUCACAGCCAUGAUCUGGAAAGCCUAAUCUUCUGCAUUUUUGGUGAUGGAGCUGAAGGUCUGGGUGGAUGGUGUCCAGAGGGUGGUAUGUGGUGUCUCAGAUCAGACCACUUGCCAGGAGAUUGUCAUAGCCUUGGCACGUGCCAUUGGUCAAACAGGUCGGUAUGUUCUCAUCCAAAGACUACGAGAGAAAGAGAGACAGCUUCUCCCCCAUGAAUGCCCUGUAGAGGCACUGGCCAAGUGCGGACAGUAUGCCAAUGACGUACAGUUUAUACUUCAGCGCACAGGCCCUAGCCUUACAGAAAGGCCUUCUUCAGACAGUGCCCCCCAGGUACCUGAGAGGACGUUUGUCAGAGCCAGCCUGCCCAUCAAACCUCGGCCACUCAGCACAGAAGUGCCCAGGGCCAGGCCACCCAAAAAAUCCUUAACGUUCAACUUGGGUUCCGUGGCCUCCAGUGAGUCACUUGCCAAAAGCAAGUUGAGGCAGCACAGAAAGGAUGCUGCUCUGGGCUUGAGGGAUGGUGCAAGCGGGGGUCUCCUGUCCAAAGAGGAGCUGUUCAAGACGGUGCUGCACCAACAGGAGCACCUCUACUCCCUGGAUAGGCAGAGGGAUGCUUUGGAAAUAGACCUCAGGCACUGGGAGUCCAGCAGGGGCUCUCACCUGGAGGAGGAGAUACUACAUCUAGAGCAAGUGAUCCGGCAGAAUGAGAAUGAGCUGAGCGAAGAAGACUUUUGGCAAAAUGAACUGCAUGCCGAGAAGACGGGGGAAAGAGAGCGCCAGGAGAAAGUUCACAGCCUGCAGGCCACCAUGGAGGAGUGCACACAGAAAAUCCACGAGCUCAUGGCAAAAACUGAGGUCUUGGAGAGGGAGAUCCAGUGGGAAAUUGCUGAGAGGACCAAGAGGGCAAAGGAUGCCCCCUCUCACAACCCUGCCGAGCUGGAAGAGAUGGCUGCUAAAAUGAAGAAGGAACUGGAUGCCAAAGCCAAGCAGAGUGCACAGUUGGAGAGCAGCCUGAGCAUGGUGGGGAAGGCCUUGGAAGAGACAGAACAAAGCCUUCAGGCUCAGAACCAAGAGCUGGAGGAGCUAAAUAAGGAGCUGAGGCAGUGUAACUUGCAGCAGUUCAUCCAGCAGACAGGAGCCAUGGUGACUGCUCCACAGGCCAGAUCAGAGGCAGAACCCCAGCUGGAUCACACUAACCCUGAGCUGCCAGUUCAUCAGAGAAAUGGAGAUCUCUCCAACUCGCCUCCCCGAGCCACAGCCAAGCACUUCCUUGGCCAUCCGCGGAACCUCCAGAACCCCCUGGUGUCCAGCUUGAACCCCGAGGGUGUGUAUGUUUGAACUGGUCUAAGCCUCUGGUGUGCUUAAUGCCUGGUCUUGCCAAGCAGUGCUGCUCAUGUUCUAACCUUGCUCUGCUGGAGACAAUUUUCGCCUGCAAGGAGUGUGCAAUUUCUUCGGCUUCCCAGUCUUUCUCUCUUCCUUUCUGUCCUUCUGUAGAACAGUUGUGGUUUGCUUCCCUUGCAAAACUAUCAGGAGCUGCAGUUACCAAAGUCAUACCGACAAAGCAGAGCAUCUGGAGGUAAAAAGGCCAGCCAAGAAGGACUGAUUGCCUUGCGAAUAUAACUAUGUAGGAAAAAAAUCCUCUAUUUCAUGUAUGUAUUUGAAUUCUUUUUAUGAGGAAUGGAUGGGUGUAGAUGGAUGAGCAAAAUAUUUUGCAAGACUUUUUUUUUUAGAAAAAAAGAAGAAAAGGGUAUUUAAUCCAUUUGGAGGAAAUAAACCGGGUGUAUUUUUUGAAAUCCCUUUUGUUGUAAUUUAAAAUGAAGAUGCUGUUUGUGGCUUCUCUGAAAAUUUAUAUAGCCUUCCCUAUUUUAAGACUUGAUCACACAUAACAGUACAUACAAUACCAACUGCCCUGGAGGGGCGUGAAGCCUGCUGGGGAUGAACUGUCCAAAACAUUCACUAGCAAGUCCUCUACAUCCAUUCGGAAGGCUAUUUGGCAAAAUUACUGCCGUACAACGAAGGCCAGAAUUCCUCACUGUAUUGUAUCAAUGCACUGUAGUGCUCCUGCAUGCAUGCAUGCGUACAUUGUUGAACAGCAUUUUUUUCAUCAUUUUAUGUUUCUGGAAAUCCACAGUUGGGAUGGGAGAAAUAAACUUUGUUCCAUUUCUGAUGAAAAUAUAAACACAAGAGACAAGUCACUUUAGGAUAGUAUUUAAGGCCACCUUGUUGUUAUUCAUCCAGAAGGCAUUUCAGGGAAGAGCUUUCAGAUCUGGUAAAAUAGAAUUGAGGUGCUAGCACUAUCUUGCCAUUUAGGGAUCAUGCCAAGUGUGAUAUUAUCCAGUUUUGCUUUCAGAGAUUUAAGUUGCUUCGGUCUAUAGAUAUAUGCCUUUUUGUUGUCUUUAAAGUCAUGUGAUGUAGUAUAUGAAGAAGUCUUAACUUCAAAGCUGUCUCCAAGCCCAGGAUGUGUAAAAGUAGAUUUCCCCCAGUGGGUCAGUCACAGGUGACUUUUGGACAGCCUUGAACUUGUGUUAGGUGUCUCCUCCUGACGGAUUGCAUAUUUUGAUCUUUCACAUUUGCAAAGUAGUUUCUACAAGUCUUCUCAUUCAUAUUCAACAAAAGGGCCACCCAGUGAAGCCCUUGUACAACAUGGCAUUAUAAAUGAUGUACAUUCAUAUAAUGGGUGAUAUUUUGUGUGAAGCCUACAUAACACAUCUGCAGAAUCAAGGUUUAGUAAAGGAGAUCGGUUAAGACGCUGCUUUUGACUUCCCUGUCCUUCUAUUUGCCAUUUUGUAGUGUCCUAUGCAGGAGACAUCUUAGCCUUAUCUGCUAGGUGUGACAACCCAUUUGGAGAUUUGAGUGAGGAGCAGGAGAUGGAAAGCUACAAUGGGGGGCAACUAAUGUCUUUCUUCCUCCCUAUUCACAGUUGCGAUUUCACUUCAUUAUACACUUUCCAUUCAUCCUGCUGCUGAGCAUUUUAUGAGGAAAGAAGGAAAUGAUGUCUCUAUGUGAGAGAACAAGAGUGAGAGAGAGUGCACUUGAAUGCUUACUUCCCAAUUUAAAAAUUGAUAAUGUGGUUCCCAAAAAAGAUAUAAUAUGGUUCAUCUUUGCCUUAAGGGCUUUUAGUCAGUAAUGUGGCUAUUGUGUCCUGAAUUGACAAGUAUCCACUAUUGGAAUAGUAACAAGAUAUUAAAUAUAAUUGAGUACUAUAUUAUACACUAAUUAUUGUAUAUAAUACAGUACUCAAUGAUAUUUAAUAUCUCAUUAUUAUUCCAAUAGUGGAUACUUGGGAACCCAUUUUUGCUUUUUAGUACAUUUCAAGCUUUGCUUGCUAUUGUGUCCUGCCAAUUUAACCACACCUCAAAAUAAGCUGUGAAGCUGAAUGUGCCAUCUCCCAAUUUAAUGUGAACCUCAGUAUGGGCCCACAGUAUGCUCUUGCAGGUUACCUAGUGCACUGUUGCGCUGUUUUUGAAUAGAAAACUUGAAACAAAUUAAUUUACUUUUCAAUACAUGUCAUCCAGUGCCUUUGUGGAGGGGGUCAUAGCACCUCUGUUCUAAUGCUGGCUUUUCACCAGCCUAAGGAGAAAACAGCAGAUAGACAAACUGCCCUUUUGAGUACCUGGAUCCCAUACUUAGGCUGCUUGGGUUUGGGGCACAGGACCCCCAUGAAAAUGAAAAACUGUGACUGAAAAUGCUAGGAAUGUCUAGGUCCUCCAGCACAACUCAAUGGUCAACUUUUGCUCAAAGGGCCUAGAGGUUCCCAGAGAGACCAUUUUAAUCAAAUCCACAAAGAUCAUACAUACAAAUGUGGAAGACCAACAUACCAUCAGGAAGGUGGGAUUAUAUGGAAAGACAAAAGCUUAUUUAUUACAUAGUAUAAAAAGUAAGUGCUAAGAAGCUCUAGGUACCAUACUAGGAAGCAUUAGGAAGGGCCAAGAAUGUUGAGCUGCUCCUCUCCCGUCAGGCUAGCAAUUUGGUUUUCUGCUUCAGACAUACAGCCAUUCCAUCUUUUAUAACAGAUGCUGCAUGAGUCACACAAGAUGGAUCCUUAAGUUCAAAAAUAUGAAUUAAAAAUGGUCAUACUUUCCCUAAGCAGAGUGGCUGCAUCUUUCAGCAAAAGAGAGGAUUCAGCAUUAGUAAAAACUAGCUGAAAGGUUUUCCAACAUAUUUUCCUUUCCUUCUGCUUGUGUGCUGUGUAUCAGGAGGAAGCACUUUGGUGCUUAACAUUUAGAAAAGGCGGGUUGCUCAUUUUACCAGAUCUGAAUGAAAGCCUUGGCAUGUUCCAUUACAAAGAACUGGUUUCUAGUGCACUUUAAUUCAGUUCUUUUUACCUCAGCCUCAACUUAAACCUUCAAAUUGUUUCCAAAUGUUGAGCAGUGGAUUCCACAUUUCUUAUUAUGGUCACAGGGGCCUACCUGCGUCAUGAUUACCUUCCUCCACUUUACUUGUCCAUGAAUCUAAACCAAUAGACCCAAUACACUUAUAGUUUGGUUCUCUUCUCGAGCAACUUGGGGACCUGGUUUUAUUGAGGAUCAUUAAAAAAAUAUAACAAACUACUGGUCACUUCCAGUGUUGAAUCGAUGUAAAGGGAAUAGUAUUUCAGGAGGUGGUGCAGUCCAAAGAAGAUCACUGCUUGCUGGGCCUCUGAAGUUUGCCAGCCUCUAUCUUAGACUCUGAUGCCAGGGAAGGAUGGGAAUGGAGCCCAAGAUCAAGUAGUAAGCUUGAUUCUAUUUAAACAAUGCUUAUUGGAUUUACAGUAAGUGAGGACAAAGCAAACAGCAUUUUCCAACUUUGUGGUGGGAGCUGCUUUUUUAACAGAUGCAUUUUACUGGAGUAUGAUAAAGGAUAUGAAAUAAUAUUAACUAAUAGGAUCCCCCCUCCCCACAACUUCUUGAUUUAAUCAAUAAAACAACAUUCCCACCUCCCUGUAUUUAUGUUAUCCAAAGCUGUCAUAUGUCCUCAUUGUGAAGCCAAGGGAAGCAAAUCUAGAUGUGCGAGGAAUGGCUGAGUGGUUGUUUGAGUGACCAGAAUUAGCUCUGGAAGCCCUGGUCGCGCUCUCUUUUUUAAAUGUUCUUUUGUAUAUCAUGGUUAUGAAAUGUGACUUCCCUUGUUCUCCAACUAGGAAAAAAGAUUCAUUUUCCAUGUAUGAAUGUAUAUAUAGUUUCUGAUUUCAAAUUGUAAUAAAAUCCAUAAGAACAA